GCCCUUGUAGUAUAAGCUAAUACACCGGUCUUGUAAACCGGAAACGAAAACUUUAUUCCAAGGACA
ensembl:Mt_tRNA